rnacentral:rRNA from 1 species
AUUGAACGCUGGCGGAAUGCUUUACACAUGCAAGUCGAGCGGCAGCACGGGGGCAACCCUGGUGGCGAGCGGCGAACGGGUGAGUAACACAUCGGAACGUACCCUGUCGUGGGGGAUAACGAGUCGAAAGAUUCGCUAAUACCGCAUACGACCCGAGGGUGAAAGCGGGGGAUCGCAAGACCUCGCGCGACUGGAGCGGCCGAUGGCGGAUUAGCUAGUUGGUGGGGUAAAGGCCCACCAAGGCGACGAUCCGUAGCGGGUCUGAGAGGACGGCCCGCCACACUGGGACUGAGACACGGCCCAGACUCCUACGGGAGGCAGCAGUGGGGAAUUUUGGACAAUGGGGGCAACCCUGAUCCAGCCAUUCCGCGUGAGUGAAGAAGGCCUCGGUUGUAAAGGCUCUUUCGGUCAGGAACGAAAAGGACGUACUCUCUAACAUAGGGGUCGAAUGACGGUACCUGAAGAAGAAGCACCGGCUAACU